UACGGGGGGAGCAAGCGUUGUUGGGAUUUACUGGGCGUAAAGGGCGCGUAGGCGGUCAGCACAAGUCAGUUGUGAAAUCUCCGGGCUUAACUCGGAAAGGUCAACUGAUACUGUGCGACUAGAGUGCAGAAGGGGCAACUGGAAUUCUCGGUGUAGCGGUGAAAUGCGUAGAUAUCGAGAGGAACACCUGCGGCGAAGGCGGGUUGCUGGGCUGACACUGACGCUGAGGCGCGAAAGCCAGGGGAGCGAACGGG
rnacentral:rRNA from 1 species